CAACUUUUAACAACGGAUCUCUUGGUUCUGGCAUCGAUGAAGAACGCAGCGAAAUGCGAUAAGUAGUGUGAAUUGCAGAAUUCAGUGAAUCAUCGAAUCUUUGAACGCACAUUGCGCCCUUUGGUAUUCCAAAGGGCAUGCCUGUUCGAGCGUCAUUUG
rnacentral:rRNA from 2 species